CGGAGGGACUAGCGUUGUUCGGAAUUACUGGGCGUAAAGCGCACGUAGGCGGAUCGGACAGUCAGAGGUGAAAUCCCCGGGGCUCAACCCCGGAACUGCCUUUGAAACUCCCGGUCUGGAGUUCGAGAGAGGUGAGUGGAAUUCCGAGUGUAGAGGUGAAAUUCGUAGAUAUUCGGAGGAACACCAGUGGCGAAAGGCGGCUCACUGGCUCGAUACUGACGCUGAGGGUGCGAAAAGCGUGGAGGCAAACAGGAUU
rnacentral:rRNA from 1 species